GUGAAAACAUACCUAAAAAUUAACCUAGAGACUUGGUGCUUUUUAUAUUUUAUAGAUAUACACUUUUACUUUAUGUAAACAAUUGUUAAAGAUAAAACUAAGGUUCAAUUAUAACAGUAUAAAGACUUUGUCAUAAAUUCUUUAAAAAGAAAAUAUUAAUAGCAUAACAUAAAUUUUAUAUACUUAUUGGAUGAUAGAAAGUGGGCAACAAAUAUUCCUACCUGACCUACAACCAUUAUCAGCUGGGUUAUGUUAUACUAAUUCUCAAAUCUGAUGUUGAAAUUUUCCUUCAUUUUAGUAUCAUCUUGAAAAUUAACUGAGUUUUACUAGCACAUAGUCAUAGUAAGUAUAAUGCAUCCUUUGGGCUUUGAUUGCAUUGGCCAAUCUGAGAAGAGCAUUAGAACAAAGCAAAGAAAAUCAUGCUAUAAGGACAGAAAAACUAGAAAAAUGAAAAUCUUUUCUCAGCCCCAGACCUUAUAUCUUUGCUUAUGGCGUAAAUCCUUAAUUUUUAUUAUAUGUAAAAAAGUACAGAAUAUUUUGUUGCUCCCGAAUGGCCAGUGUGUUAAAAGCCAGGGUUUUUUUUCUUCUUACAAUGUUAUACCAAAAUUAGAAUGCAUAGUAUUAGAAUAGAGAGCAAUGUAUAUUCUAAACACAGGCUCAUUUAGGGGAGAAUGUAAACUUUAUGCAAACAGUUCUUCUCAGUUUUGUAGGAAAGAUUUUUUAAAAACCUUAUACUCUACCUGAAAAUAAAAAGAAAUUAAUAACCAGUCUAGAUUAUAAAAAGGGGGGGGACCAAAAAUUUUCAUUUAUUUCAAUAUGCCCAGAAGAAAAUAUGAAACAUUUCUACACUACUUCUCCUGCAAACUUUCCUCCUAUUUUAAAAGAAAAAUCAAAAGGAAUAUGCCAUGGACUCUCUUCACAUAUGAUACUGGAUCUAAUGGAAGAGAACACGCCAAGACACAGCACAUUAAAAAAAAAAAAGUAAGCUGUCCACAAGAACUGUUUGGUUCUUGACUGAAAAAUAUCAACCCCACCCAAGACUGAGCAAUAUCUUUCUGAGUUGAUGUGCAUCCUGCUUUGCCAACAUCUUGAUUAUGUCUGAUGUCCCACAAUAAAUAUUAACAAUGCCUCCUUUCACUCCUAAAUGCC
rnacentral:lncRNA from 1 species